UAGAGUUUGAUCCUGGCUCAGAUUGAACGCUGGCGGCAGGCUUAACACAUGCAAGUCGAACGGUAACAUAAAGAAGCUUGCUUCUUUGAUGACGAGUGGCGGACGGGUGAGUAAUGCUUGGGAAUCUAGCUUAUGGAGGGGGAUAACUACGGGAAACUGUAGCUAAUACCGCGUAAUAUCGAAAGAUUAAAGUGUGGGACCUUCGGGCCACAUGCCAUAGGAUGAGCCCAAGUGGGAUUAGGUAGUUGGUGAGGUAAAGGCUCACCAAGCCGACGAUCUCUAGCUGGUUUGAGAGGAUGACCAGCCACACUGGGAUUGAGACACGGCCCAGACUCCUUCGGGAGGCAGCAGUGGGGAAUAUUGCGCAAUGGGGGCAACCCUGACGCAGCCAUGCCGCGUGAAUGAAGAAGGCCUUCGGGUUGUAAAGUUUUUUCGGUAGCGAGGAAGGCAUUUAGUUUAAUAGACUAGGUGAUUUGACGUUAACUACAGAAGAAGCACCGGCUAACUCCGUGCCAGCAGCCGCGGUAAUACGGAGGGUGCGAGCGUUAAUCGGAAUAACUGGGCGUAAAGGGCACGCAGGCGGUGACUUAAGUGAGGUGUGAAAGCCCCGGGCUUAACCUGGGAAUUGCAUUUCAUACUGGGUCGCUAGAGUACUUUAGGGAGGGGUAGAAUUCCACGUGUAGCGGUGAAAUGCGUAGAGAUGUGGAGGAAUACCGAAGGCGAAGGCAGCCCCUUGGGAAUGUACUGACGCUCAUGUGCGAAAGCGUGGGGAGCAAACAGGAUUAGAUACCCUGGUAGUCCACGCUGU
rnacentral:rRNA from 1 species